rfam:Ovis aries breed Texel chromosome 18, whole genome shotgun sequence.
UCCCUGGUGGCUCAGAGGGCAAAGCGUCUGCCCGCAAUGCAGGAGACCCGGGUUCGAUCCCUGGGUCGGGAA